rnacentral:rRNA from 1 species
AGUGGCGAACGGGUGAGUAACACGUGGGCAAUCUGCCCUGCACUCUGGGGACAAGCCCUGGAAACGGGGUCUAAUACCGGAUACUGACCAUCUUGGGCAUCUAGGCUGWUCGAAAGCUCCGGCGGUGCAGGAUGAGCCCGCGGCCUAUCAGCUAGUUGGUGAGGUAAUGGCUCACCAAGGCGACGACGGGUAGCCGGCCUGAGAGGGCGACCGGCCACACUGGGACUGAGACACGGCCCAGACUCCUACGGGAGGCAGCAGUGGGGAAUAUUGCACAAUGGGCGAAAGCCUGAUGCAGCGACGCCGCGUGAGGGAUGACGGCCUUCGGGUUGUAAACCUCUUUCAGCAGGGAAGAAGCGAAAGUGACGGUACCUGCAGAAGAAGCGCCGGCUAACUACGUGCCAGCAGCCCGCGGUAAUACGUAGGGCGCGAGCGUUGUCCGGAAUUAUUGGGCGUAAAGAGCUCGUAGGCGGUCUGUCACGUCGGUUGUGAAAGCCCGGGGCUUAACCCCGGGUCUGCAGUCGAUACGGGCAGGCUAGAGUUCGGUAGGGGAGAUCGGAAUUCCUGGUGUAGCCGGUGAAAUGCGCAGAUAUCAGGAGGAACACCGGUGGCGAAGGCGGAUCUCUGGGCCGAUACUGACGCUGAGGAGCGAAAGCGUGGGGAGCGAACAGGAUUAGAUACCCUGGUAGUCCACGCCGUAAACGGUGGGCUCUAGGUGUGGGCGACAUUNCACGUCGUCCGUGCCGCAGCUAAC